rfam:Magnaporthe oryzae 70-15 chromosome 6, whole genome shotgun sequence.
GGCAAGAUGGCCGAGUUGGUCUAAGGCGCUAGCUUCAGGAUUCAUCGUUUCAAACGACGAGUUCCGCAUGCUAGUCUCGCAAGAGGCGUGGGUUCGAAUCCCACUCUUGUCA